UACGUAGGGUGCAAGCGUUAAUCGGAAUUACUGGGCGUAAAGCGUGCGCAGGCGGUGAUGUAAGACAGAUGUGAAAUCCCCGGGCUCAACCUGGGAACUGCAUUGUGACUGCAUCGCUGGAGUGCGGCAGAGGGGGAUGGAAUUCCGCGUGUAGCAGUGAAAUGCGUAGAUAUGCGGAGGAACACCAGUGGCGAAGGCGGCAUCCUGGACUGGUCCUGACACUCAGGAGCGAAAGCGUGGGGAG
rnacentral:rRNA from 1 species